AGUGAACGCUGGCGGCGUGCCUAAUACAUGCAAGUCGAACGAAGUGGCGCACGGGUGAGUAAUAUAUAGUUAAUCUGCCCUACACAGAGGAACAACAGUUGGAAACGACUGCUAAUACCUCAUAGCGUAGGAUGAGACUAUUUCGUAUCAGCUAGUUGGUAAGGUAAUGGCUUACCAAGGCGAUGACGCGUAACUGGUCUGAGAGGAUGAUCAGUUACCUUGGAACUGAGACACGGUUCAAACUCCUACGGGAAUCAGCAGUAAGGUGUAUUGCGCACUGGGGGAAACCCUGACGCGGCAUCGCCGCGUGGAGGAUGACACUUUUCGGAGCAUAAACUCCUUUUAACAAGAAAGCGGUACCUGAUGAAUAAGCACCGGCUAACUCCGUGCCAGCAGCCGCGGUAAUAC
rnacentral:rRNA from 1 species